rnacentral:rRNA from 1 species
GAUGAACGCUGGCGGCGUGCUUAACACAUGCCAGUCGAACGGUGAAGGCGGAGCUUGCUCUGCUGGAUCAGUGGCGAACGGGUGAGUAACACGUGAGCAAUCUGCCCCUGACUCUGGGAUAAGCGCUGGAAACGGCGUCUAAUACUGGAUACGAGCUGCGAAGGCAUCUUCAGCAGCUGGAAAGAAUUUCGGUCAGGGAUGAGCUCGCGGCCUAUCAGCUUGUUGGUGAGGUAAUGGCUCACCAAGGCGUCGACGGGUAGCCGGCCUGAGAGGGUGACCGGCCACACUGGGACUGAGACACGGCCCAGACUCCUACGGGAGGCAGCAGUGGGGAAUAUUGCACAGUGGGCGAAAGCCUGAUGCAGCAACGCCGCGUGAGGGACGACGGCCUUCGGGUUGUAAACCUCUUUUAGCAGGGAAGAAGCGAAAGUGACGGUACCUGCAGAAAAAGCGCCGGCUAACUACGUG